rnacentral:snRNA from 1 species
GUGCUUGCUUUGGCAGCACACAUACUAAAAAUGAAAUGAUACAGAGAAGAUUAGCAUGGCCCCUGUGCAAGGAUGACUUGCAAAAUCGUUAAGUGUUCCAUAUUAAA